rnacentral:rRNA from 1 species
CCUACGGGUGGCAGCAGUGGGGAAUAUUGGGCAAUGGGCGAAAGCCUGACCCAGCAACGCCGCGUGAAGGAAGAAGGCCUUCGGGUUGUAAACUUCUUUUGACAGGGACGAGCAGAAGACGGUACCUGUCGAAUAAGCCACGGCUAACUACGGGCCAGCAGCCGCGGUAAUACGUAGGUGGCAAGCGUUGUACGGAUUUACUGGGUGUAAAGGGUGUGUAGCCGGGCUGACAAGAGAGCUGUGAAAUCCGGGGGCUCAACCCCCGAACUGAAUUUGAAACUGUUGAUCUAGAGUAACGGAGAGGCAGGCGGAAUUCCUAGUGUAGAGGUGAAAUGCGUAGAUAUUAGGUGGAACACCAGUGGAGAAGGCGGCUAGCUGGAC